rnacentral:rRNA from 1 species
GUUGUAUGGUUAAGUGACUAAGCGUACACGGUGGAUGCCUUGGCAGUCAGAGGCGAUGAAAGACGUAGUAACUUGCGAUAAGCCCAGAUUAGGUAGUAACAACCAUUUGAGUCUGGGAUUUCUGAAUGGGGAAACCCACGUGCAUAAGCACGUAUCCUUACCUGAAUACAUAGGGUAAGGAGGCGAACCGGGGGAAC